rnacentral:lncRNA from 1 species
GUAAAUGCAGUAGGAUGAGCCGCUAGCAGCCAGCACCGAGUGGUUUAUUGGGUUCGAGAAAAUUUUGUGAACCCUAACCCAAAUUUUAUGUGUUGGUGGUGAAAAAGAUGUUAGUAAAUCCAUAAAAGAAGAGGGUAGCUAUAGGGUUUAAAUCUUUUGUAUUGGAAAGCAAACACUUGGCUUGUCGCUUUCACUUUCUUUGAAGUCCACCAAGUAGGGGUUAUAUUCCCCAUACUUAUAAAACAUCUUUCCAACGGCUAAGUUUGAAUCUUUGGGGGAAGAUAUAAAAUAAAAUUACCAAAGAUUCUACAGUGUUCGAUUAACUCCUUAAUUUAAUG